rnacentral:lncRNA from 1 species
CACCGGCACUGACCCUUGCUUCAAUGGCUAGAGAGCAUCACCCUGGACCCUCUGUUUCUCCUCGCACACCUGCUAUGAGUCACAAUUUCUCUGCUGACAAGAUUGUGGAGCAGGUAGUGGAAUAGAUCACUGAGAAAAUUGGAGCCAUAUUUUCAGACCUCAGAUAGCAGAUUUCUCAGAGUCUUGAGGAGUAAAGAGUAUCGUCUGAGGGAUAGCUUGAGAUGCUCUGUCAGUAGAUCAGCAAUUUAUCUCAAAGGUUAGAAAUUUUGGAGAAGGAACAGAGUGGGACAUCUGCGAAGGUUGAACACUUAACUAUGAAGUCCACCAA